UUUUGUGUUAUUGAGCGUUUAGCCGGUGAAAUAUGAAAAUGUUGGCAGGCAUUUGGCAAUCUCAGAAAGAAGGUAAGGAUCUACACUCUCAAAGAAUAAAAAUAAAAACAGCUUUUUUUAGUAAUACUAGGUACUGACUGUACUAAUAGUUAAUAUAAGAUGUUGAAGCAACUUCAAAACCUUUGUGAGGGACCAGACUCAAACGAGGACAAAAAAAUGUUCAAAGUAGCAAAAAUUCAAUUUAAUUAUUCCAAAAUAGCAAACAAAACAUAAAGAUUUAAUGCAAAAAUAAGUCAAAGAAUAAAUAACAAUUUUGGGCCCAAUUUAACUGAGGUCAACUGAAUUCUAACUGAACACAAACAAAACUGACCUGCCAACAAAGAACAAAAGGCUGCUUAAAUAGGGGUGGAGUAACCUAAAUCUACCACAUGAGGGAGGCACGACAUAACAAAAGAACAAAUAAAUACAAAAUUAACUAAAGCAUUCUAUGAAAUAAAUAAAGCAAAACUAACUCUUACUUAGCAGAAACAA